rnacentral:rRNA from 1 species
GACGUAGGGCGCGAGCGUUGUCCGGAAUCAUUGGGCGUAAAGAGCUCGUAGGCGGCUCAGUAAGUCGGGUGUGAAACCCUCAGGCUCAACCUGGGGACGCCACCCGAUACUGCUGUGGCUAGAGUCCAGUAGGGGAGUGUGGAAUUCCCGGUGUAGCGGUGAAAUGCGCAGAUAUCGGGAGGAACACCAGCGGCGAAGGCGGCACUCUGGGCUGGUACUGACGCUGAGGAGCGAAAGCGUGGGUAGCAAACAGG